UUUGCCUGAUGGGUCUUUGGCAACCUGCACAUAUUAGAUGAUAAACGAAAGUUAUGAUACUGUUUCAUCUUCAGAAUUGAUGCACUCAUUUAUGCCUCUACAUACCCAUCUAACUUUUAUUUAAAUCCAUUUUCGCAAAUGGGUAGCUCAGAAUCAUAAAUCCUAGAUCAAAGAAGUGACCAAUCUAUCUUUGUCACCACAAUGAGGAGGCUCUUCUGAUAAGAAAGUAAUGAGUAGUGUUAAUAGUGUAGGCAUCAUAGCGAGCCAAGAGCUGAUGGGAGACAAAAGCAUUGGCUUUCUGAGAUGCCAGUUUGUUAUCGGAUCCUCCACCAUACAAUGUAGGAGACACUCUCCGAGGUUCUCUUUAUCAGCAUAAGAACUCGGCAGUUUUGUCUGCAGAGGACCUUAUUACCAGAUCUUGGUAUAAUGCUGUAAAAUUAUAGUAACUUUUGAACAUGAACUGCUGAAUAAACAGUUUUUGAAGCAAUAUUUAUUAAUAUUAUAUGAAGACCUAAUUGGUUAAAGAACAAAGUAACAUUCUAGCUUUUUAGCACCCAAAGCUGCAUAAAAUUUGUCUUAAAGGAGCAACAGAACCAUUAUCGACACAUAUCAGAGGCAAUGUCGAGCAUAACACUUCAUCAAACAACAAAUGCAGCCACAAAAGCAACACAAAAAUGAUAAUGAACCCACUUAACACUCAUUAAAGAACCAAUAACGCCAAAAAGACAGAACAUAGAUCACCGACAAAAACGUCACGUCAAGAUCCAGAUUUUUCAAGAACUUUAAAACCACCGACAGGUCCAUUAAGACACCUAUAAUUAUUCACUAGAUCAAGCCUACAGAACCAAGAAUCACAUAUAAACCACGACGAUCCAAAAUUUCUCAUCCUUCAUAACAUCACAAACUACACAUUCACUACACCAAAGAACAGAAACCGCACUCAAGCACAACAAUAAGCUACAAAAACUAAGAUUCUGUUCAACUAGGCAUCAAAUCUAACAAACCACAAACAAAAAG
rnacentral:misc_RNA from 1 species